rnacentral:ncRNA from 1 species
UUAAAGUUUAAUUCUAACUAAAAGAUUAGUACUACUAAAAAACCUUAUGCCUUAUCUUAGUUAAUCAUAUAUAUAUAUAUAUAUAUUAAAUACAUAAAUAUAUAAACAUAAAAAUAUUUAUCAGCAGAAGUUGAAAUUGUGAUAAUGCGUAAAAGCGUGAAAUGGUUUAAAUAUACUUACUGGUAAAAUUUGUGCCAGCAACAGCGGUUAUACAACAAAUAUCUAACAACUAAAAUCUGUAAGGAUGAAGAUAUUUAUGAAUUAAAAGUAAAAUUUCCAUAAUCCAUUAAGUGCUAAUAUCAUCACUAAUAAAUUAUAAACUAAAACAAGGAUUAGAUACCCUUUUAUUAUUAAUUCAAAAUAAGAUUGGAGAUUACAAGCAAUAGCUCUAAAACCCAAGAAUUUGGCGGUGUUUUAUUCAAUCAGGGGGACCUGUACUUUAAAUCGACAGUCCACGAUAAACUCUAUCUAAUUUUAAUAUUAUAGCCUGUGUACUGCCGUUUAAUAAACUCUUUAGGUAGAUAUAUAAAUAAUAAAAAAAUUAUAAUUCAGGUCAUAGUGCAGCUUACAAUUAGACAGUAUAUGGGUCACAUUUUUAAAUAUAUAAAAAAUUAUAAAUUAAUUUUAUAAUAAAUUCAGGACUUGAUAGUAAUUAUAUAAUUAUUUAUACUAUAAUGAAUAUGAACUUAAAACAAGUACACAUCGCCCGUCACUCCUUUAUAUAGGAUAAGUCGUAACAUAGUAGAUGUAAUGGAAAUUGCAUCUGU